rnacentral:tRNA from 1 species
GGAAGAGUAUCGAAGUGGUCGUAACGAGCCGCACUCGAAAUGCGGUGAACCGCAAGGUUCCGUGGGUUCGAAUCCCACCUCUUCCGCCA